GACGAACGCUGGCGGCGUGCUUAACACAUGCAAGUCGAACGGAAAGGCCAAGCUUGUUGGGUACUCGAGUGGCGAACGGGUGAGUAACACAUACGUUAUCUGCCCUCAACUUUGGCAUAAGCCUAGUAAACUGAGUCUAAUACCGGAUAUGAUCAACUGUCGCCUGGUGGUUGGUGGAAAGCUAUUGCGGUUGGAGCUGGGCUCGCGGGUUAUCAGCUUGUUGGUGGGGUAUUGGCAUACGAACGCAGAGACUGGUCGCCGACCCUAGAGGGGGAUCGGCCACACUGGGACUGAGGGAGGGCGCAGACUCGUAUGGGAGGCAGCAGGGGGGAACCUUGCAGAAUGGGCGCGAGUCUGAGACAGAGACGCUGCGUGAGGGAUGAUGGGUUUCGGGUGGUAAACAUAUUUCACCAGAGACGAAGAGUGAGUGACGGUACCUGGAGAGGAAGCACCGGCCAACUACGUG
rnacentral:rRNA from 1 species